rnacentral:rRNA from 1 species
AGUGAACGCUGGCGGUAGGCCUAACACAUGCAAGUCGAACGGCGGCACAGUAAGAGCUUGCUCUUACGGGUGGCGAGUGGCGGACGGGUGAGGAAUACAUCGGAAUCUACUUUUUCGUGGGGGAUAACGUAGGGAAACUUACGCUAAUACCGCAUACGACCUACGGGUGAAAGCAGGGGAUCUUCGCACCUUGCGCGAUUGAAUGAGCCGAUGUCGGAUUAGCUAGUUGGCGGGGUAAAGGCCCACCAAGGCGACGAUCCGUAGCUGGUCUGAGAGGAUGAUCAGCCACACUGGAACGGAGACACGGUCCAGACUCCUACGGGAGGCAGCAGUGGGGAAUAUUGGACAAUGGGCGCAAGCCUGAUCCAGCCAUACCGCGUGGGUGAAGAAGGCCUUCGGGUUGUAAAGCCCUUUUGUUGGGAAAGAAAAGCAGCAGGUUAAUACCCCGCUGUUCUGACGGUACCCAAAGAAUAAGCACCGGCUAACUUCGUG